rnacentral:misc_RNA from 1 species
CAACCCUUAAGCCUAGCUUAGUGUUGGGAAUCUACUGUACUGUAGUUCCUCAAAGACAGUGGCGGAGCGGCAGUGGUCCUCUGAGCGUAGUAAUUUAUUUCUCGCUUUUGUCAGGCCCUGUCCUCUCGCCAUAAAACCCCCAAUUUUUUAGU